rnacentral:misc_RNA from 1 species
GAAAUGCGAUAAGUAAUGUGAAUUGCAGAAUUCAGUGAAUCAUCGAAUCUUUGAACGCACAUUGCGCCCGCCAGCACUCUGGCGGGCAUGCCUGUUCGAGCGUCAUUUCAACCCUCAGAACCCCUUGCGGGAUCUGGCGUUGGGGAUUGGCAUCCAGCCAGCCCCGAAAUCUAGUGGCGGUCCCUCCGCGACCUCCCCUGUGCAGUAGCGAUACCUCGCAGCGGGACAGCGGUCUGACCACGCCGUAAAACCCCCAACUUCUCAAGGUUGACCUCGAAUCAGGUAGGAAUACCUGCUGAAAUUAAGU